GAUGAACGCUGGCGGCGUGCCUAAUACAUGCAAGUCGAGCGAACGGACGAGAAGCUUGCUUUUCUGAUGUUAGCGGCGGACGGGUGAGUAACACGUGGAUAACCUACCUAUAAGACUGGGAUAACUUCGGGAAACCGGAGCUAAUACCGGAUAAUAUUUUGAACCGCAUGGUUCAAAAGUGAAAGACGGUCUUGCUGUCACUUAUAGAUGGAUCCGCGCUGCAUUAGCUAGUUGGUAAGGUAACGGCUUACCAAGGCAACGAUGCAUAGCCGACCUGAGAGGGUGAUCGGCCACACUGGAACUGAGACACGGUCCAGACUCCUACGGGAGGCAGCAGUAGGGAAUCUUCCGCAAUGGGCGAAAGCCUGACGGAGCAACGCCGCGUGAGUGAUGAAGGUCUUCGGAUCGUAACUCUGUUAUUAGGGAAGAACAUAUGUGUAAGUAACUGUGCACAUCUUGACGGUACCUAAUCAGAAAGCCACGGCUAACUACGUG
rnacentral:rRNA from 1 species